rnacentral:rRNA from 1 species
GAUGAACGCUGGCGGCGUGCCUAAUACAUGCAAGUCGAGCGAACAGACGAGGAGCUUGCUCCUCUGACGUUAGCGGCGGACGGGUGAGUAACACGUGGAUAACCUACCUAUAAGACUGGGAUAACUUCGGGAAACCGGAGCUAAUACCGGAUAAUAUAUUGAACCGCAUGGUUCAAUAGUGAAAGACGGUUUUGCUGUCACUUAUAGAUGGAUCCGCGCCGCAUUAGCUAGUUGGUAAGGUAACGGCUUACCAAGGCAACGAUGCGUAGCCGACCUGAGAGGGUGAUCGGCCACACUGGAACUGAGACACGGUCCAGACUCCUACGGGAGGCAGCAGUAGGGAAUCUUCGGCAAUGGGCGAAAGCCUGACGGAGCAACGCCGCGUGAGUGAUGAAGGUCUUCGGAUCGUAAAACUCUGUUAUUAGGGAAGAACAAAUGUGUAAGAAACUAUGCACGUCUUGACGGUACCUAAUCAGAAAGCCACGGCUAACUACGUG